rnacentral:rRNA from 2 species
UAUCAAUAAGCGGAGGAAAAGAAACCAACAGGGAUUGCCCUAGUAACGGCGAGUGAAGCGGCAACAGCUCAAAUUUGAAAUCUGGCGCAAGCCCGAGUUGUAAUUUGUAGAGGAUGCUUCUGGGCAGCGGCCGUUCUAAGUUCCUUGGAACAGGACGUCAUAGAGGGUGAGAAUCCCGUAUGUGACCGGCGCGCACCCUCCACGUAGCUCCUUCGACGAGUCGAGUUGUUUGGGAAUGCAGCUCUAAAUGGGAGGUAAAUUUCUUCUAAAGCUAAAUACCGGCCAGAGACCGAUAGCGCACAAGUAGAGUGAUCGAAAGAUGAAAAGCACUUUGGAAAGAGAGUUAAAAAGCACGUGAAAUUGUUGAAAGGGAAGCGCUUGCAACCAGACUUCGCGGUGGUGUUCCGCCGGUCUUUUGACCGGUCUACUCGCCGCCGCGAGGCCCACAUCGUCUGGGGCCGCCGGAUAAGACCGUAGGAAUGUGGCUCCCUCGGGAGUGUUAUAGCCUUCGGUGAUGCGGCGUGUCCCGGGCGAGGUCCGCGCUUCGGCAAGGAUGUGGGCGUAAUGGUUGCCAGCGGCCCGUCUUGAAACACGG